CUCGUAGGCGGUUCGUCGCGUCCGGUGUGAAAGUCCAUCGCUUAACGGUGGAUCCGCGCCGGGUACGGGCGGGCUUGAGUGCGGUAGGGGAGACUGGAAUUCCCGGUGUAACGGUGAAUGUGUAGAUAUCGGGAAGAACACCAAUGGCGAAGGCAGGUCUCUGGGCCGUUACUGACGCUGAGGAGCGAAAGCGUGGGGAGCGAACA
rnacentral:rRNA from 1 species